rnacentral:rRNA from 1 species
AGUGGCGCACGGGUGAGUAACGCGUAAGUAAUCUACCCUGGUAUCAGGGAUAACUAACCGAAAGGUUGGCUAAUACCUGAUACGCUGAUUUAUCAGGAAAGGUGGCCUCUUCAUGAAAGCUACUGUACCGGGAGGAGCUUGCGUACCAUUAGCUAGUUGGUAGGGUAACGGCCUACCAAGGCGACGAUGGUUAGCGGGUCUGAGAGGAUGAUCCGCCACACUGGAACUGGAACACGGACCAGACUCCUACGGGAGGCAGCAGUGAGGAAUAUUGCGCAAUGGGGGCAACCCUGACGCAGCGACGCCGCGUGGAUGAUGAAGGCCUUCGGGUCGUAAAAUCCUGUCAGAUGGAAAGAAGUGUAUUAUGCAUAAUAGGUAUAAUAUUUGACGGUACCAUCAAAGGAAGCACCGGCUAACUCCGUGCCAGCAGCCGCGGUAAUACGGAGGGUGCAAGCGUUGUUCGGAAUUACUGGGCGUAAAGCGCGCGUAGGCGGUUUGUUAUGUCAGAUGUGAAAGUCCACGGCUCAACCGUGGAAGUGCAUUUGAAACUGGCAGACUUGAGUAUUGGAGGGGGUAGUGGAAUUCCCGGUGUAGAGGUGAAAUUCGUAGAUAUCGGGAGGAAUACCGGUGGCGAAGGCGACUACCUGGCCAAAUACUGACGCUGAGGUGCGAAAGCGUGGGGAGCAAACAGGAUUAGAUACCCU